rnacentral:rRNA from 1 species
GACGAACGCUGGCGGCGUGCUUAACACAUGCAAGUCGAGCGGUAAGGCCCUUUCGGGGGUACACGAGCGGCGAACGGGUGAGUAACACGUGGGUGACCUGCCCUCAGCUCUGGGAUAAGCCUGGGAAACCGGGUCUAAUACUGGAUAUGACUCCAUGACGCAUGUUGUGGGGUGGAAAGCCUUGUGCGGCUGAGGAUGGGCCCGCGGCCUAUCAGCUUGUUGGUGGGGUGANGGCCUACCAAGGCGACGACGGGUAGCCGGCCUGAGAGGGCGACCGGCCACACUGGGACUGAGACACGGCCCAGACUCCUAUGGGAGGCAGCAGUAAGGAAUAUUGCGCAAUGGGCGAAAGCCUGACGCAGCGACGCCGCGUGGGGAUGAAGGUCUUCGGAUUGUAAACCCCUUUCGGGAGGGAAGAUGGAACGAGCAAUCGUUCGGACGGUACCUCCAGAAGCAGCCACGGCUAACUUCGUGCCAGCAGCCGCCGUAAC